AGUGAACGCUGGCGGUAGGCCUAACACAUGCAAGUCGAACGGCAGCACAGUAAGAGCUUGCUCUUACGGGUGGCGAGUGGCGGACGGGUGAGGAAUACAUCGGAAUCUACUUUUUCGUGGGGGAUAACGUAGGGAAACUUACGCUAAUACCGCAUACGACCUACGGGUGAAAGCAGGGGAUCUUCGGACCUUGCGCGAUUGAAUGAGCCGAUGUCGGAUUAGCUAGUUGGCGGGGUAAAGGCCCACCAAGGCGACGAUCCGUAGCUGGUCUGAGAGGAUGAGCAGAGACACAGGAAAUGAGACACGCUCCCCAGACCUACGCGGGGGGGCGGUGGGGAAUAUUGUGGACUGGGGGCGAGCCUGAUCCAGCCAUACCGCGUGGGUGAAGAAGGCCUUCGGGUUGUAAAGCCCUUUUGUUGGGAAAGAAAAGCAGCAGGUUAAUACCCCGCUGUUCUGACGGUACCCAAAGAAUAAGCACCGGCUAACUUCGUG
rnacentral:rRNA from 1 species